rnacentral:rRNA from 1 species
UACGUAGGGUGCAAGCGUUAAUCGGAAUUACUGGGCGUAAAGCGUGCGCAGGCGGCUUUGCAAGACAGAUGUGAAAUCCCCAGGCUCAACCUGGGAACUGCAUCCGAUACUGGAUGGCUUGAAUUCGGGAGAGGGAUGCAGAAGUUCCAGGUGUAGCGGUGAAAUGCGUAGAUAUCUGGAGGAAUACCGGUGGCGAAGGCGGCAUCCUGGACCGACAUUGACGCUGAUGAGCGAAAGCUAGGGGAGCAAACGGG